UACAGAGGUCUCAAGCGUUGUUCGGAUUCAUUGGGCGUAAAGGGUGCGUAGGCGGCGCGGUAAGUCGGGUGUGAAAUCUCGGGGCUUAACUCCGAAACUGCAUUCGAUACUGCCGUGCUUGAGGACUGGAGAGGAGACUGGAAUUUACGGUGUAGCGGUGAAAUGCGUAGAUGUCGUAAGGAAGACCAGUGGCGAAGGCGGGUCUCUGGACAGUUCCUGACGCUGAGGCACGAAGGCCAGGGGAGCAAACGGG
rnacentral:rRNA from 1 species